ensembl:snRNA Gm26022 U6 spliceosomal RNA
AUGUUUCCAUUGACAGCACAUAUACUUUACUUGCAGCAACACAGAGAAGAUUAGCAAUAUCCCCUGUACAAGUACAACACUUAUGCUUCCAAAACAUUCCUUAUUUUU